UCUGGUGGCUUAGAUGGUAAAGAAUCUGCCUGCAAAGCAGGAGACCUGGGUUUGAUCCCUGGAUCAGGA
rnacentral:tRNA from 1 species